UACGUAGGGACCAAGCGUUGUUCGGAUUUACUGGGCGUAAAGGGCGCGUAGGCGGCGUGUUAAGUCACUUGUGAAAUCUCUAAGCUUAACUUAGAACGGUCAAGUGAUACUGAUGUGCUAGAGUGCAGAAGGGGCAAGCCGGAAUUCUUGGUGUAGCGGUGAAAUGCGUAGAUAUCAAGAGGAACACCUGAGGUGAAGACGGGUUGCUGGGCUGACACUGACGCUGAGGCGCGAAAGCUAGGGUAGCAAACGGG
rnacentral:rRNA from 1 species